CUAUAGGCACCCAGACCACUUCAGCUUAAUGAAGUGGUCUGGGUGCCAGGUCCAGGUAGGUUUAACCCUUUUUUCUAUAAACAUAGCAGUUUCAGAGAAACUGCUAUGUUUACAAAUGGGUUAAUCCAGCCUCUAGUGGCUGUCUCAUUGACAGCCGCUAGAGGCGCUUCAGCGCUUCUCACUGUGAUUUUCACAGUGAGAAGAUGCCAGCGUCCAUAGGAAAGCAUUGAGAAUGCUUACCUAUCGACUGGCUGAAUGCGCACGAGGAGCCGAGGAGGAGGAGAUUCCCCAGUCUGGCUUUGGAGAAAGAGGUAAGUUUAACCCCUUCCACCCUCUAGAGCCCGGCGGGAGGGGGAUCCUAGGGUGGGGGCACCCUCAGG